GAUGAACGCUAGCUACAGGCUUAACACAUGCAAGUCGAGGGGUCUCGCGGAAGCUUGCUUUCGAGAGACGACCGGCGCACGGGUGAGUAACGCGUAUCCAACCUGCCCUUCAUAUUGGGAUAGCCUUCCGAAAGGAAGAUUAAUACCGAAUAACAUAGCGAGAUUGCCUGAUUUCUCUAUGAAAGCUCCGGCGAUGAAGGAUGGGGAUGCGUUCCAUUAGGUAGUAGGCGGGGUAACGGCCCACCGAGCCGACGAUGGAUAGGGGUUCUGAGAGGAAGGUCCCCCACACUGGAACUGAGACACGGUCCAGACUCCUACGGGUGGCAGCAGUGAGGAAUAUUGGUCAAUGGGCGCAAGCCUGAACCAGCCAAGUAGCGUGAAGGAAGACUGCCCUAUGGGUUGUAAACUUCUUUUAUACGGGAACAAACCCUGGUACGUGUACCAGAUUGCGUGUACCGUAUGAAUAAGCAUCGGCUAACUCCGUGCCAGCCGCCGCGGUAAUAC
rnacentral:rRNA from 1 species